rnacentral:rRNA from 1 species
UACGGAGGGGACUAGCGUUGUUCGGAAUUACUGGGCGUAAAGCGUACGUAGGCGGUUAUUCAAGUCAGAGGUGAAAGCCCGGGGCUCAACCCCGGAACUGCCUUUGAAACUAGAUAGCUAGAAUCUUGGAGAGGUCAGUGGAAUUCCGGAGUGUAGAGGUGAAAUUCGUAGAUAUUCGGAAGAACACCAGUGGCGAAGGCGACUGACUGGACAAGUAUUGACGCUGAGGUACGAAAGCGUGGGGAGCAAACAGG